rnacentral:rRNA from 1 species
GCAGUCGAGCGGUAGCACAGAGAGCUUGCUCUUGGGUGACGAGCGGCGGACGGGUGAGUAACGCGUAGAAAUCUACCCGGUAGUUGGGGAUAGCCCGGAGAAAUCCGGAUUAAUACCGAAUAAUCUCUGAGGAGGAAAGUGGGGGACCUUUCGGGGCCUCACGCUAUUGGAUGAGUCUGCGUCGGAUUAGCUAGUUGGUGGGGUAAAGGCCUACCAAGGCGACGAUCCGUAGCUGGUCUGAGAGGAUGAUCAGCCACACUGGGACUGAGACACGGCCCAGACUCCUACGGGAGGCAGCAGUGGGGAAUAUUGGACAAUGGGGGCAACCCUGAUCCAGCCAUGCCGCGUGUGUGAAGAAGGCUUUCGGGUUGUAAAGCACUUUCAGUGGUGAGGAAGGGUGUGUUGUUAAUAGCGACAUACAUUGACGUUAGCCACAGAAGAAGCACCGGCUAACUCCGUGCCAGCAGCCGCGGUAAUACGGAGGGUGCGAGCGUUAAUCGGAAUUACUGGGCGUAAAGCGCGCGUAGGCGGUGUGUUAAGUGAGAUGUGAAAUCCCCGGGCUCAACCUGGGAAUUGCUUCUUAUACUGGCACGCUAGAGUAUGGCAGAGGUGAGUAGAAUUCCCGGUGUA